AACGAACGCUGGCGGCAUGCCUAACACAUGCAAGUCGAACGAGACCUUCGGGUCUAGUGGCGCACGGGUGCGUAACGCGUGGGAACCUGCCCUUAGGUUCGGAAUAACUCCCCGAAAGGGGUGCUAAUACCGGAUAAUGUCUUCGGACCAAAGAUUUAUCGCCUUUGGAUGGGCCCGCGUUGGAUUAGCUAGUUGGUAGGGUAAAAGCCUACCAAGGCGACGAUCCAUAGCUGGUCUGAGAGGAUGAUCAGCCACACUGGGACUGAGACACGGCCCAGACUCCUACGGGAGGCAGCAGUGGGGAAUAUUGGACAAUGGGCGAAAGCCUGAUCCAGCAAUGCCGCGUGAGUGAUGAAGGCCUUAGAGUUGUAAAGCUCUUUUGCCCGGGAUGAUAAUGACAGUACCGGGAGAAUAAGCUCCGGCUAACUCCGUG
rnacentral:rRNA from 1 species